rnacentral:rRNA from 1 species
AUGGUUUGCUUUACCUGUGGAGGCCCUAGCCACUACGUUGGUAAUUGCAUCCAGAAGAAAGCUUGCUUCAUCUGCGGAUUGGAGGGUCACAAUGUCAAUAAUUGCGCAGCCUGGACACAACCUCAUCCAGUUGCCACUUUCUUUAGGAGUUCUGCUCUGGGACUGGGGUUCUAUCACAUCGACGCUCCUGUGGGUAGAGAAGCAAGUUGGAUGAACUUCAGGAACUGCGGAGAAGUUUGGAACAUGAAAGGUGAAAUCAACAAGUCAGAUCUAGUUAAGAAUCUCUCUGGUAUAUUUUGCAAAAACAAACAAUGGACGUGGAAGAUCAGGCCACUAUCAGAGAAGAAGUUCCUGGUCAGAUUCCCACCCUGGAAAGAUGUCGAAGAACUGAUUGAAUUCCCUACCUUUGAUCUGCCCAUCGAUGGAGUGUCUGUGUCUGUGGAAAAGUGGACCGGUUCAAUUGACCCAUUCAGCGAGCUUACUGAAGCAUGGGUAGUUGUUGAGGGUCUGUCAUCCAAAUGA